UACGGAGGGUGCAAGCGUUGUUCGGAAUCACUGGGCGUAAAGGGCGUGUAGGCGGUCCGCUAAGUCUGAUGUGAAAGCCCGAGGCUUACCCUCGGAAGUGCAUUGGAGACUGGCGGACUGGAGUCCCGGAGAGGAGGGUGGAAUUCCUGGUGUAGCGGUGAAAUGCGUAGAGAUCGGGAGGAACACCGGUGGCGAAGGCGGGUCUCUGGGCAUUUCCUGACGCUGAGGCGCGAAAGCGUGGGGAGCAAACGGG
rnacentral:rRNA from 1 species